rnacentral:rRNA from 1 species
UACACAUCAGUCGAACGAGAAUGAGGGGGCAACUCCUCUAGUAAAGUGGCGGACGGGUGCGUAACACGUGGGUAAUGUACCUUCUGGCGGGGGACAACAAUCCGAAAGGAUUGCUAAUACCGCAUAUAGUCAGCGAGGUCCUCGGACCUUGUUGGGAAAGGUGGCCUCUCCUUGGAAGCUGCCACCAGAAGAUCAGCCCGCGGCCCAUCAGCUAGUUGGUGAGGUAACGGCUCACCAAGGCUAAGACGGGUAGCUGGUCUGAGAGGAUGAUCAGCCACACUGGGACUGCGACACGGCCCAGACUCCUACGGGAGGCAGCAGUGGGGAAUAUUGGGCAAUGGGCGGAAGCCUGACCCAGCCACGCCGCGUGAGUGAUGAAGGCCUUCGGGUCGUAAAGCUCUGUGGGGAGGGACGAAUAAGUCUGUGGUUAACAACCACGGGCCCUGACGGUACCUCCUUAGCAAGCACCGGCUAACCAUGUGCCAGCAGCCGCGGUAAU